rnacentral:rRNA from 1 species
CCUACGGGAGGCAGCAGUGAGGAAUAUUGGUCAAUGGGCGCGAGCCUGAACCAGCCAAGUCGCGUGAGGGAUGACGGCUCUAUGGUUUGUAAACCUCUUUUAUAAGGGAAUAAAGUGCGGUACGCAUCCCGCUUCGCAUGUACCUUAUGAAUAAGGAUCGGCUAACUCCGUGCCAGCAGCCGCGGUAAUACGGAGGAUCCGAGCGUUAUCCGGAUUUAUUGGGUUUAAAGGGUGCGUAGGCGGCCUUUUAAGUCAGCGGUGAAAGUCUGUGGCUCAACCAUAGAAUUGCCGUUGAAACUGGGGGGCUUGAGUAUGUUUGAGGUAGGCGGAAUGCGUGGUGGAGCGGUGAAAUGCAUAGAUAUCACGAAGAACCCCGAUUGCGAAGGCAGCCUGCCAAGCUAUGACUGACGCUGAUGCACGAAAGCGUGGGGAUCGAACAGGAUUAGAUACCCCUGUAGUC